GACGAACGCUGGCGGCGUGCUUAACACAUGCCAGUCGAACGGAAAGGCCCUGCUUUUGUGGGGUGCUCGAGUGGCGAACGGGUGAGUAACACGUGAGUAACCUGCCCUUGACUUUGGGAUAACUUCAGGAAACUGGGGCUAAUACCGGAUAGGAGCUCCUGCUGCAUGGUGGGGGUUGGAAAGUUUCGGCGGUGGGGGAUGGACUCGCGGCUUAUGAGCUUGUUGGUGGGGUAGUGGCUUACCAAGGCUUUGACGGGUAGCCGGCCUGAGAGGGUGACCGGCCACAUUGGGACUGAGGUACGGCCCAGACUCCUACGGGAGGCAGCAGUGGGGAAUAUUGCACAAUGGGCGGAAGCCUGAUGCAGCAACGCCGCGUGCGGGAUGACGGCCUUCGGGUUGUAAACCGCUUUCGCCUGUGACGAAGCGUGAGUGACGGUAAUGGGUAAAGAAGCACCGGCUAACUACGUG
rnacentral:rRNA from 1 species